rnacentral:rRNA from 1 species
CGGCGAGUGAAGCGGCAACAGCUCAAAUUUGAAAUCUGGCCUUCGGGUCCGAAUUGUAAUUUGUAGAGGAUGCUUUGGGUGCGGUACCUUCCGAGUUCCCUGGAACGGGACGCCGGAGAGGGUGAGAGCCCCGUACGGUUGGAUACCAAGCCUAUAUAUAGCUCCUUCGACGAGUCGAGUAGUUUGGGAAUGCUGCUCUAAAUGGGAGGUAAAUUUCUUCUAAAGCUAAAUACCGGCCAGAGACCGAUAGCGCACAAGUAGAGUGAUCGAAAGAUGAAAAGCACUUUGAAAAGAGGGUUAAAUAGCACGUGAAAUUGUUGAAAGGGAAGCGUUUGCGACCAGACCUUUUCCAGGCGGAUCAUCCGGUGUUCUCACCGGUGCACUUCGCCUGGUUUAGGCCAGCAUCGGUUUUCUUAGGGGGAUAAAGGUUUAGGGCACGUAGCUCCUUCGGGAGUGUUAUAGCCCUCUACGUAAUACCCUUCGGGGGACCGAGGACCGCGCAUUGCAAGGAUGCUGGCGUAAUGGUCGUCAACGACCCGUCUUGAAACACGGACCAAGGAGUCGAACAUUUGUGCGAGUGUUUGGGUGUUAAACCCUCACGCGUAAUGAAAGUGAACGGAGGUGAGAGCCCUUCGGGGUGCAUCAUCGACCGAUCCUGAUGUCUUCGGAUGGAUUUGAGUAAGAGCAUAACUGUUCGGACCCGAAAGAUGGUGAACUAUGCGUGGAUAGGGUGAAGCCAGAGGAAACUCUGGUGGAGGCUCGCAGCGGUUCUGACGUGCAAAUCGAUCGUCAAAUCUGCGCAUGGGGGCGAAAGACUUAUCGAACCAUCUAGUAGCUGGUUACCGCCGAAGUUUCCCUCAGGAUAGCAGUGUUGUCUUCAGUUUUAUGAGGUAAAGCGAAUGAUUAGGGACUCGGGGGCGCUAUAUUGCCUUCAUCCAUUCUCAAACUUUAAAUAUGUAAGAAGCCCUUGUUACUUAGUUGAACGUGGGCAUUCGAAUGUACCAACACUAGUGGGCCAUUUUUGGUA